AAUGGGGUGGCUGAUAAAAAGUGAUAAACUGUAAAUUUAUAAAUGAUUAAAUAUCCCCCAUUA
rnacentral:tRNA from 1 species